UGGCCCUGUGGCGAAAAGGUACCGCGUUGCCCUCCGACUAACGUGACCUCACGUUUAUGAAAGGCAGAGAUUGUGGGUUCGAUCCCCAUCAGGGUCG
rnacentral:tRNA from 1 species